AGAAAUUAAUAACUUUCUAUUUCUUUUUUAUUCAGAUUAAUUAUUUGUGAAAAGAAAUUAUCCAAUACUUCUCAUCUAUCUAACUGGAAUUUCUCUAGCUGGAGUUUUUCUGAUUGGUUUAUGACUUUAUUCAGUGAUAAUACGAAAAUUCCUAUCUUCACUGAAGGAUCUGAAUAAUCAUUUUAACUCAACUAUAUUGCAUUCUUGAAAGUAAUCCUUUCAAUGUAAGUAUGACAUCUUUUCUCAUUCUCUUUGAAAAUAUAGUUCUAAGAUUAAUAUAGACAGGUAAAGAGUGGC
rnacentral:lncRNA from 10 species